rnacentral:misc_RNA from 1 species
UGAGAAGAGAGUCAGUAUACUCCGCCAACCACAGUCCUAGGGUUGAUGAUGUCAGGGAAUCACAACCUAUUGUUGUAUGUGCUGCGCGUGUUGUUUUGACUAGUGCUAUUAGAGGAACUCAUGGUGGAAUUCGUCGAAAGGCCGCUGUAAAUAGGGGCAUGAGACCACCAAUGGCUACAAAAGGAAGGCAGCCGUCUGGAACAUCUGAUAAAGGCCGAGCCACAAAUACUGAAAGAGGUAUUCCAUAUGGGGUUAAUUCAUCGGAGUCAUCAUUGGAUGAUUUUGCGGUGUCGCUCCCUAAUGAAUCAUCAAGGGAGGCAUUUAUAAAAGCAUUGAUAGAGCACGACAAUUCAAUCAGGUUGGCGUUGACUAAUAUUGAAUUGAUAGUGAA